AUUGAACGCUGGCGGCAGGCCUAACACAUGCAAGUCGAACGAGUGGCGGACGGGUGAGUAAUGUCUGGGAAACUGCCCGAUGGAGGGGGAUAACUACUGGAAACGGUAGCUAAUACCGCAUACCAUCGGAUGUGCCCAGAUGGGAUUAGCUAGUAGGUGGGGUAACGGCUCACCUAGGCGACGAUCCCUAGCUGGUCUGAGAGGAUGACCAGCCACACGGGACCUGAGACACGGUCCGACCUCCUACGGGAGGCGGCAGUGGGGAAUAUUGUACAAUGGGGGCAAGUCUGAUGCAGCCAUGCCUCGUGUAUGAAGAAGGCCUUCGGGUUGUAAAGUACUUUCAGCGGGGAGGCGUUACCCGCAGAAGAAGCACCGGCUAACUCCGUGCCAGCAGCCGCGGUAAUAC
rnacentral:rRNA from 1 species